CCUACGGGAGGCAGCAGUGGGGAAUCUUGUGCAAUGGACGAAAGUCUGACACAGCCACGCCGCGUGCGGGAAGAAGGCCUUCGGGUUGUAAACCGCUUUCAGCAGGAACGAAAAUGACGGUACCUGCAGAAGAAGAUGCGGCCAACUACGUGCCAGCAGCCGCGGUGAUACGUAGGCAUCAAGCGUUGUCCGGAUUUAUUGGGCGUAAAGAGCUCGUAGGCGGUUCAGCAAGUCGGGUGUGAAAACUCUGGGCUUAACCCAGAGCCUGCACUCGAAACUGCUGUGACUAGAGUUCGGUAGGGGAGCAGGGAAUUCCUAGUGUAGCGGUGAAAUGCGCAGAUAUUAGGAGGAACACCAAUGGCGAAGGCACUGCUCUGGGCCGAUACUGACGCUGAGGAGCGAGAGCGUGGGUAGCAAACAGGAUUAGAUACCCUGGUAGUCCACGCCGUAAACGAUGGGCACUAGGUGUGGGUCUCUAACCAACGAGAUCUGCGCCGUCGCUAACGCAUUAAGUGCCCGCCUGGGGGNGGACGGUCGUCGAGACGAAACGUACGAAAGAAGUUAGACGGCGNGNGACGNGCCGACGGACGACGACGAGGGAGGAGG
rnacentral:rRNA from 1 species